rnacentral:lncRNA from 1 species
UAAUAUCCACACACCUCAAAAGUUGCUCACUAUAGUUGCCACCUACUACUGCUGCCACAUGGCACUUUUGCACCCCAUGCCUCACCUACCAGUCGACCACUUAGGCCAAUCAACGACCCAAAAUUCAUAUAUGUGAUCCAACGGAUCACAUGGCUUUUCCCCUUAGUAUUUAAACUAUGUUCCUCUUAUUUUUUUCUUCAUUUUUCCUCAUCAUCUUGCUUUGCAUCUAUAGAAUGGAAGAAACUUUAAGAGUGAGU